AAGCUGUCCGCCGCCAUUUUGCUUGUGGGCUGCCGCCCGCCGUUACCUCUCCACCGCGGCUAGAAGACAGCCAACUGGAGGCAGAGCGGUGGACAGAAUCUCCGUCUAUUUCACAACAGAUGCAUUCAACAAUUCACCGAAGUCUGGCCUCUAGCGCGGGAGGAACUCGGUUGGGGUGUCACUCGACGCCCACUAGGGGCUGAGGCGGUUCCAGUGCGCAGGCUCCGAGCACCGGAUAAAAGCGGAGCUGGCGAGUCCAGCGCCGUCUCGAUGGAGGAGCGAGAAACGGAAGAGGUCGGGGGGAGAAGCAGCAGGAAAAAUACAGCCACCGUCAGCGCCGCCUCCCUGCCACCGUGUAUCGGGGUAAAAAGCUGCCGUUGCCGUCGGUGCAGUUGCCGUCUGUGCCUCCUACUUUGGCCCCGGGGAAGGAUUUCCCCGCCGGCGGGACAAUGUGCGGGGAGGGGAGCGGGAAUUCCUUUAUGCGGCGGUGAUUAAACGAGGGAGGGUCAGAGAGACGGUUAUCUCGAAGAACAAAGGGGCAGGCCAAAGAAUAAAGGGUUUCCCCAGUAAAAUGACACGGUGAUUGCGGCUCCUGUUUUCCGGGGUCUUUCCCCGAAAUGGCGGUUUCCGUCUUCUAGCUCCACAGCCUUCCGAAGCGCUUGGUAAGCGGAGUGGGGAGAGGCAGAGGCGGUCCGUGCAGCCAAUCAGUGCCUGAGGUGUUCUGUCGGGCGUGUCGUGAUUGGCUAGCGGUGACCUCAUGCUGCAGCAGGGGGUGGGGCCAGAGCCGUCGGGGGAGGCUGUUGCAGAGACAGAGCAGUGACGAUUGUGAUCUUUGCUGCUGCGGCCGAUAUGGAACCCAAGCGGUGGCGAAGGGAAUCUCAAGGCUUUUCCUUGACUAUUUUCUCCUGUCCCUGCGCGAGGGCACAAGCUCCAGACGCGCAGGCUCAGUAGCUGUGGCUCACGGGCCUAGUUGCUCCGCGGCAUGUGGGAUCUUCCCAGACCAGGGCUCGAACCCGCGUCCCCUGCACCGGCAGUCAGACUCUCAACCACUGCGCCACCAGGGAAGCCCCCGAAAUGACAUUUUUAAUGUUGAAUGGCAUGGAAAAGGAUGUGAGCCCCUGCUGAUUGCCAAACAUUGUCCCAGGUGUAUAAGAACUCGCCAGAGUUUCUAUUUGUUGUUUGUUAGGGGAGCUUCCACUCUCUGAAGGUAGCUCAAGAAGCUGACCAUGGAGAUUCCUGUUGCUGCCCAUGCCUAAUGAGUAUUUGAUGAGCUUUGUCCACAAAGAACAGAAAUGUGAAAUGACCCCUUCCAAGCCUGGAGAGCCAACCUCAACUGACCCUCCCUAUAAGAAGCUUUCUACAUGAAGACUCCAGCUUGGCAGGCAGGACGUGCUUUAGUAUUUCAGUGAAACCACAUUUCUCCAGGCUAUACCAGCUGUGGGUACUGCUUAGAAGUAUGGUCUCCCAACACCUCUUCUCUAGUUGGAGGCACCAUGGGCAUUUCUCAUGUGGCUCUCCCACCACCUGUGCUCACUGUGUCACUGCACUGAGACCUCAGCUCCUACUUAGGAAGCUCCUGUCCCUGGUUUGCUGUCUUAUAGUCUCCUUUUGGUGAGAUCAAAGCUGUAUGUCUGUUCUGCUCCAAGUGUCACUCCUGAAGAGAGGGAAUUAUGGGCCUGUAUUAGUUAGGGUUUUCCAGAGAAACAGAACUAACAGGAUGUGUAUAUACAGCAAAGGAGUUUUAUUUUAAAGAAUUGGCUCAUCUACUGUGGAGGCUUGGCAAGUCCAAAAUCUGACAAUGGAGGCCAGUAGCAGACUGGAGACUCAGGAAACAGUUGUGGUUUGAAACCAUGGGUUCUGCUAGCAAGCCAGGAACAGCUGAUGUUGCUGACAAAGUGGUAAGGCAGUCUGCUGGCAGAAUUCCCUCGUGCUGCAGGAAGGUCAGCCUUUUGUUCUAUUUAGGCCUUCAGUGGGUUGGAUGAGGCCCACCCACAUCAUGGAGGGCAAUCUGCUUCAUUCAGAGUCCACUGAUUUAAUGUAAAUCUCAUCCAAAAACACCCUCACAGGAACAUCCAGAAGAAUGUUGGACCAAAUAUCUGGGCACUGUGGCCCAGCAAAGUUGACACAUAAAAUUAACCAUCAUAGACCCUUGUUACUAAGUGACAGGGGAGAAUUAUCUCAUAUUCUUUGCUCCUGCUGCAUCCUUUCUCUGGUGCAGUCACUUCAU